UAGGAGAUAAGAAGGCAUCUUUUUAUUUUUAAAAGACCUAGCAAUAGGUAUGCUUAGGGAAGAGCUUGCGUCACAUUAGUUAGUUGGUGGGGUAAUGGCCUACCAAGACGAUGAUGUGUAGCCGGGCUGAGAGGUCGAACGGCCACAUUGGGACUGAGACACGGCCCAAACUCCUACGGGAGGCAGCAGUAAGGAAUUUUCGGCAAUGGAGGAAACUCUGACCGAGCAAUGCCGCGUGAACGAUGAAGUAUUUCGGUACGUAAAGUUCUUUUAUUAGGGAAGAAAAGAUGGUGGAAAAACCAUUAUGACGGUACCUAAUGAAUAAGCCCCGGCUAACUAUGUGCCAGCAGCCGCGGUAAUACAUAGGGGGCAAGCGUUAUCCGGAAUUAUUGGGCGUAAAGGGUGCGUAGGCGGUUAAAUAAGUUUAUGGUCUAAGUGCAACGCUCAACGUUGUGAUGCUAUAAAAACUGUUUAGCUAGAGUUGGAUAGAGGCAAGUGGAAUUCCGUGUGUAGUGGUAAAAUGCGUAAAUAUACGGAGGAACACCAGAAGCGAAGGCGGCUUGCUGGGUCUUAACUGACGCUGAGGCACGAAAGCGUGGGGAGCAAACAGGAUUAGAUACCCUGGUAGUCCACGCCCUAAACGAUGAGUACUAAACGUUGGAUAAAACCAGUGUUGAAGUUAACACAUUAAGUACUCCGCCUGAGUAGUACGUACGCAAGUAUGAAACUUAAAGGAAUUGACGGGACUCCGCACAAGCGGUGGAUCAUGUUGUUUAAUUCGAAGGUACCCGAAAAACCUCACCAGGUCUUGACAUGCUUUUGCAAAGCUGUAGAAAUACAGUGGAGGUUAUCAGAAGCACAGGUGGUGCAUGGUUGUCGUCAGCUCGUGUCGUGAGAUGUUGGGUUAAGUCCCGCAACGAGCGCAACCCUUGUUGUUAAUUGCCAUCAUUAAGUUGGGGACUUUAGCAAGACUGCCAAUGAUAAAUUGGAGGAAGGUGGGGACGACGUCAAAUCAUCAUGCCCCUUAUGACCUGGGCUACAAACGUGAUACAAUGGCUGUUACAAAGGGUAGCUAAAGCGUAAGCUUCUGGCGAAUCUCAAAAAAGCAGUCUCAGUUCGGAUUGAAGUCUGCAACUCGACUUCAUGAAGUUGGAAUCGCUAGUAAUCGCGAAUCAGCA
rnacentral:rRNA from 1 species